GGGGUAGUGGCCCACCAAGGCGACGACGGGUAGCCGGCCUGAGAGGGCGACCGGCCACACUGGGACUGAGAUACGGCCCAGACUCCUACGGGAGGCAGCAGUGGGGAAUAUUGCACAAUGGGCGCAAGCCUGAUGCAGCGACGCCGCGUGAGGGAUGACGGCCUUCGGGUUGUAAACCUCUUUCAGCAGGGAAGAAGCGAGAGUGACGGUACCUGCAGAAGAAGCGCCGGCCAACUACGUGCCAGCAGCCGCGGUAAGACGUAGGGCGCGAGCGUUGUCCGGAUUUAUUGGGCGUAAAGAGCUCGUAGGCGGCUUGUCGCGUCGAAUGUGAAAUCUCAGGGCUCAACUCUGACAUUGCAUUCGAUACGGGCAGGCUAGAGUUCGGUAGGGGAGACUGGAAUUCCUGGUGUAGCGGUGAAAUGCGCAGAUAUCAGGAGGAACACCGGUGGCGAAGGCGGGUCUCUGGGCCGAUACUGACGCUGAGGAGCGAAAGCGUGGGGAGCGAACAGGAUUAGAUACCCUGGUAGUCCACGCUGUAAACGUUGGGCGCU
rnacentral:rRNA from 1 species